GUAGUCUCGCACAGAUGCAUAUCAAUAAGCGGAGGAAAAGAAACUAACAAGGAUUCCCUUAGUAACGGCGAGUGAAGCGGGAAGAGCUCAAAUUUGAAAUCUUCAAGGUUUUACCUUGACGAAUUGUAGUUUAAAGAAGUGUUUUCUGUUGAAGUUUUGGUAAAAGUUCUUUGGAAUAGGACAUCAUAGAGGGUGAGACUCCCGUAUUUGACCAUUAUGCUUUCAGCUGUGUGAUACACUUUCAAAGAGUCGGAUUGUUUGGGAAUGCAGUCCAAAAUGGGUGGUAAAUUUCAUCUAAAGCUAAAUAUUGGCGAGAGACCGAUAGCGAACAAGUACCGUGAGGGAAAGAUGAAAAGAACUUUGAAAAGAGAGUUAAACAGUACGUGAAAUUGUCAAAAGGGAAGCGUUUGACACCAGUGUUGUUUUCUCGAAAAUCAAUUAAAAAGAGUUUGAUUUUGUUGUGUAUAGACCUUAACAGCUUGCAUUUCAAUUUUCUUGCUUUUUUUAAUGCACUUUUCAUUUAACAAGUCAACAUCAGUUUCUUUUGUUGUAAAAAGGUCAUUGGAAGGUGGCUUUCUUUUCGGAGAAAGUGUUUAUAGCCUUUGACUCCUGCAAUCGGAGAGACUGAGGUCUGCAGCGUAGAUCCUUCGGGGUUAGAUACAUUUGUGCUAAGUUAUAGCUUUUUAUAGACAACUUGUUGACUAUGAUUAGUCUUGUAGCUUACUCGCUUAUGCUAUUUUACCUACGCUUAGGAUGUUGAGCGCAUGUCUCUCUCU
rnacentral:rRNA from 1 species